UCACUUCCCUGAUGCUCAAAUAAAGAGCCUUAGCGACAACUUUGAAAUCCACCUCCUUUGGCACAUCCAGGAAAGGUACUCGAUUUUCAAUUCGGACAUUCAUAAGGGUGGAAUACUCUUCAAGAGUGGGAGCUAGCUGGUAGUCCUGAAAAGUAGAGCAACGAAGCUCCGGAUCAUAGAACUGUAAGAGAGUCUGCAGAGGUACCGGAUCAACCUCCAUCUUC
rnacentral:lncRNA from 1 species